CGCGACGGAAGCGGAGUGCCGUCUCUAUUGGCGCUGAGCUCCGCGUCAGUGCCCUCCUUUCUUUCCCCUCGCUAGGGUGGGUUACCAUUGCUGCCCCCUCGGCGUCUUUGUUCAGUGACAGUGACGGAAAAAAUGGAUCAUCAUAUCCGCACUGUGGCUAAAGCUGUUGGAUGCAGAAUAAUGGGCUCUUAAUUCUGUUGUGGAGAACCAUCAUUAUGGUGAGAAGAGAGAAGAGAGAAGAUUAAUGAAAGAAUGGGAUGUUUACAAGACCCUUGUUCCCGGCUGUUACAAGACAAUGGGCAUGGCGGGAAUGCUCGAUGAGAUCAUUAACUAUGUUCAGUCACUGCAGAACCAAGUCGAGUUUCUUUCGAUUAAACUUUCGGCUGCAAGCUUCGUUUAUGACUAGUGCCUCGACACUGAGAGCGUUUUGACAUCGCGGGUGAGCAUAAUAAAUUAAACGAUCCUUUCAUCUUGUUCUUGUGCUGCCCAAACAAUUCUACACAGUGGCAUAUCAUGGGGAAAUAGUCCCAGUUCGUGGGAUAGGAAAGGAGCAGAGCCUCUAGUUUUUUUGUUUUUGUCGGUUUUCCAAUCCCCAGAAAGCAUCGCUGCCAAAGAAUUCUAAUAGCCUAUGCUGUCAACAUGACAGCGAAUGAGCGAGCAUCCGAGAGCUGCACAGGAUGCAAGAGAUGAUUCUUUGUUUGACCAAUGCCCAUGAUAAAUAUUAUGUAGCUGAGGUGAACUUAACAUCCUUUAGUUGGCCACAAUUUAGAGCUUAGGUGGUACACAUGAGUUCCGGUCUCGAGUCAUCAUCGCAAGUCUCAUCCUGAUGCAUUCUAACAUGUGUUAUCCACACUUUACUGUUCUAACAUGAGUUCCGGUCUCGAGUCA